rnacentral:lncRNA from 1 species
GGGAGUCGGAUUUCUGCUGGAUUUAGAAAAGCAUCUCUGAGUGCAUGACAGGAGCCCAAUGGGUUGGUGACACUACUGCAGCUCUUGGAGGAUCCCCACCCAGCCACCUGCCCCAGCCAGGAGCAUGGCUUUGGGAGGAAGAAGGCAGGCAGCAGAGAGAGCUUGCAGAUAAUGUCAAGAGGUACCCAGGUCCUCCGGAGUGUCCAAAAUACGUUCUGCCACAGCAUAGCCGCCACCGAGCGGUGCAGGUCGUGCCCCAAACCAGGUCCGCAAUCGAGCGGAGCUUGAAUAAUUUAACCAGUAGGCUACCAGGCUGGCCCCCAAAACAAACUUUUUAAAUUGGGAAACAGGAAAUACACAUAGAUAACCUACAUGGAUUGCUUUUUGAAUCUAUAUACUAG